GGAGCUUGCUCCCGGAUGUUAGCGGCGGACGGGUGAGUAACACGUGGGUAACCUGCCUGUAAGACUGGGAUAACUCCGGGAAACCGGAGCUAAUACCGGAUAGUUCCUUGAACCGCAUGGUUCAAGGAUGAAAGACGGUUUCGGCUGUCACUUACAGAUGGACCCGCGGCGCAUUAGCUAGUUGGUGGGGUAAUGGCUCACCAAGGCGACGAUGCGUAGCCGACCUGAGAGGGUGAUCGGCCACACUGGGACUGAGACACGGCCCAGACUCCUACGGGAGGCAGCAGUAGGGAAUCUUCCGCAAUGGACGAAAGUCUGACGGAGCAACGCCGCGUGAGUGAUGAAGGUUUUCGGAUCGUAAAGCUCUGUUGUUAGGGAAGAACAAGUGCGAGAGUAACUGCUCGCACCUUGACGGUACCUAACCAGAAAGCCACGGCUAACUACGUGCCAGCAGCCGCGGUAAUACGUAGGUGGCAAGCGUUGUCCGGAAUUAUUGGGCGUAAAGGGCUCGCAGGCGGUUUCUUAAGUCUGAUGUGAAAGCCCCCGGCUCAACCGGGGAGGGUCAUUGGAAACUGGGAAACUUGAGUGCAGAAGAGGAGAGUGGAAUUCCACGUGUAGCGGUGAAAUGCGUAGAGAUGUGGAGGAACACCAGUGGCGAAGGCGACUCUCUGGUCUGUAACUGACGCUGAGGAGCGAAAGCGUGGGGAGCGAACAGGAUUAGAUACCCUGGUAGUCCACGCCGUAAACGAUGAGUGCUAAGUGUUAGGGGGGUUUCCGCCCCUUAGUGCUGCAGCUAACGCAUUAAGCACUCCGCC
rnacentral:rRNA from 1 species